rnacentral:tRNA from 1 species
GUCCCUGUCGAUUAGUGGUUAAAUCAUCUCGUUGUGGCCGAGAAGCCGGAAGUUCGAAUCCUCCCUGGGACA